rnacentral:rRNA from 1 species
GAUGAACGCUAGCGGGAGGCUUAACACAUGCAAGUCGUGGGGCAGCACAGUCCGUCGUAAGGCGGAUGGGUGGCGACCGGCGCACGGGUGAGUAACGCGUAUGCAACCUGCCCUGUACAGGGGGAUAGCCCGGAGAAAUUCGGAUUAAUACCCCAUAAAGAUAUUUAGAGGCAUCUUUGAAUAUUUAAAGCUUCGGCGGUACGGGAUGGGCAUGCGUGACAUUAGCUAGUUGGUAGGGUAACGGCCUACCAAGGCUGCGAUGUCUAGGGGUCCUGAGAGGGUGAUCCCCCACACUGGUACUGAGACACGGACCAGACUCCUACGGGAGGCAGCAGUGAGGAAUAUUGGUCAAUGGGCGUAAGCCUGAACCAGCCAUCCCGCGUGCAGGAAGAAGGCGCUAUGCGUUGUAAACUGCUUUUGUACAGGAAGAAAACCCCCGACGUGUCGGGGCUUGCCGGUACUCUGUGAAUAAGCAUCGGCUAACUCCGUGCCAGCAGCCGCCGUAAUAC